CAGCAGCCGCGGGAAUACGAAGGGGGCUAGCGUUGUUCGGAAUUACUGGGCGUAAAGCGCACGUAGGCGGAUCGAUCAGUCAGGGGUGAAAUCCCAGGGCUCAACCCUGGAACUGCCUUUGAUACUGUCGAUCUGGAGUAUGGAAGAGGUGAGUGGAAUUCCGAGUGUAGAGGUGAAAUUCGUAGAUAUUCGGAGGAACACCAGUGGCGAAGGCGGCUCACUGGUCCAUUACUGACGCUGAGGUGCGAAAGCGUGGGGAGCAAACAGGAUUAGAGACCCCAGUAGUCCCUGUCUCUUAUAC
rnacentral:rRNA from 1 species